GAGUGGCAGACGGUUGUGUCACUCGUGGGAACGUACCCAUUGGUACGGAACAACCUAAGGAAACUUGGGCUAAUACUUUAUACGACCCUAUGGGGAAAGAUUUAUCGUAUAUUGGACUGGCCCGCGUUGGAUUAGGUAGUUGGUGGGGUAAUGGCAUAUUAAGGCAACUAUCUAUAGCUGGUGUGAGAGGAUGAUCAGCCACACUGGGACUGAUACAUGGCCCAGACUCCUACCGGAGGCAGCAAUGGG
rnacentral:rRNA from 1 species